UUGAAUACCGAACAGGUAAAUAAUAAUAAAAUAAAAAAAGGUGAAAAAACCACCUGAAUGUAUGUGACGUGUACAGGGUAAAAAUCGAAAUCGCAUAGUAAUAAAAUAUUAUACAUGUACGGAGGUGAUAUAAAAUGUCAAUAAUUAAAAGUAAAGGUGUUUGGAAAAAUAAGCGGAUUUGCAAAAUCCUAAUGCUGGCUAGCUGAAAUGACUUACGUAUAAUACGCAUGCUGGCUAGUAAUGUUGCGUUGCCAUACUCGUCGCCUAGAAAAAGUCCUAUAAAUUCUCAGCGCAGUACCUAUAGCGUUUGAGUUCAUUUACAUUUUGGAGUUCGAUCAACACGAACCUAAUACGUAUUUGUAAAUUUCAUUUUGUGCCCAAAUAUAGUAUAAUAUACAACAAUAAUGGAAGGUAUUACAAAAAAGAUUAUUCGAAGAGUUAACGCGGGACGCGACGACGGUCACGAGACGGCAGGCGAGGGCUCUUCUGCAGCUUAGGGCGAGCGGAACGAUGACCGAAGACGGCCGCGACCACUACGGGUAACCGCGGACAACGAUUUCGGCCCUGCGGUAUCUGCACGAUGGCGGUGCGAGUUGUCAUUAUAUACUAGCGGACCCGACAGACGUUGUUCUGCACGAUAUUUCAAGCGAUUAUAGGAUAUUAAACAAAUCGAUUCCCGACGAGUAUAAAUGAAUAAACUUGACGGUUUUCCAACCCGAGAAUCGCUACAUUUAUUAUAAUUGGCCAUGUGAAAAGACAUGUUGGAUUUCACAAAUCGACAUUGUUUGACCUUGAGACUUAUUAAUGGUCAUGACAAAUGCCAAGCGAAUUUAAAAUGAAAUGGAAAUGUAAAUGAAAUGGAUGGAUCUGAAGGGAUCAUUGGGAUUCGUGGCAAGAGAACAACUUCACCUUUAAAUUUUCCGUUCUGAAUUUUAUUUUUAAAACAAUACCUUUAUUUCUCAAUAGGUACUUACAACAAAUUGUUCAACUAUAUCGUCACUAUUGGUAUAAAAAACGAUGAUAUAUAAAUAUUGAUAUAUAAAAUCCAGCUUUCGUGGAAUUAGUUCCGAACUUUUUUCUUAUUUGACUGGGUUAUUAACCAAGUUCCGUGAUACCCUAAGUCUUGUAGGCAACCGAAUAUUAAUGGACAUUUGGGACAAUUAAAUCUUAUGGUUUCUGCACUGUGUGUUCUUUUUAUAUACUUAAAUCUUUUUGGUAUUAAUCGCAUACACGCCUUUUUUAUCGUGUACUAUUUUUAUAUGUCUCUUAAGUGUAUCUAUUCUGAUCUAUUCUGUUAAACACUCGAUCACACUUUUUUCAAAAAUGUGUUAAUUGAACUUAGAUAGUUGGUUCCAUGUUUGGCAAUAUAGAGUGCAAGCAAACUUUUGUAAAGAAAUAUUUUCUCGCACGUUGCACACGUAUAUACGUGUUCUAGUAAUUCUUUAUGUUGUUAUCAUUAGGAAUUGGCAUCAUGCAAGCCCCGUGAUAAUUGUUUUAAAAAUUACCUGUGUUUUUUAUUUCACAGCUAUGGCACAUACAAUCUUUCUUAUUGUUACUAAAAUAUUUUUGGUAUUGAUCGCAUACAUGCCUUUUUUAUCAUAUUCUAUUUUUAUAUCUCUCGGACGACUUUUUUUUUCCAUUGGUAAUCGAGAAUAUUCUGUCGUGGUAUCAGAAAAUACCAAUGAAAUUAAGUUAUAUGGUUGGGACAAGCAGCUUUUGUAAACUAUGAUUGCGAAGCAAACGCAGCCAUUUGUUCUUAGGCAACGUCGCUAUUGUGAAGUGUAACUUUGUGCCAUAAAAAUUAAUACUUAUUAGGUAAUAUAUUAUAUUAGCCCGAAUUCGGGUAAUCAUAUUAUAUCCCAAAUAUGCAUUACCAAUAAUACGAAAAAAUUUGCAAUGAGUGUUGUAUAUUCGUCUUCGCAUUGA